UGUAAAGUGUCUAGGGCACACCAUUCUUUA
rnacentral:piRNA from 1 species